rnacentral:rRNA from 1 species
AGUGAACGCUGGCGGCAGGCCUAACACAUGCAAGUCGAACGGCAGCACAGAGGAGCUUGCUCCUUGGGUGGCGAGUGGCGGACGGGUGAGGAAUACAUCGGAAUCUGCCUUAUCGUGGGGGAUAACGUAGGGAAACUUACGCUAAUACCGCAUACGACCUACGGGUGAAAGCGGAGGACCUCCGGGCUUCGCGCGAUAAGAUGAGCCGAUGUCGGAUUAGCUAGNGGCGGGGCAAAGGCCCACCAAGGCGACGAUCCGUAGCUGGUCUGAGAGGAUGAUCAGCCACACUGGAACUGAGACACGGUCCAGACUCCUACGGGAGGCAGCAGUGGGGAAUAUUGGACAAUGGGCGCAAGCCUGAUCCAGCCAUGCCGCGUGUGUGAAGAA